ensembl:lncRNA
CGAAAAUUGUGUAGUUAUGUGGGUUUCGUUUCACACGCAGAGAAGGAGGAUUCAGGACUGUUAAGGAAGAGGUUGUAUUUAAAAAGUGGGGUUGCUGGGAGUGCCUGAGGUUAUUAAGGAUUUCAACUUAAAUUAAAGUGAUACUGUGCCAGGAGCAGGAGAAAAUGGAGAGUCUGGAACAAUCAGAAGCUUUUUGCUUGCAGGGAUUGAUCCACAUGAAUCCUAAUUAAAACGAGUCCUCCCUCCAACAUCAUUAGAUUCUUUAAAAAGCAAAACCAGGUUAAAAAAAGCAGGGAGUUUUAGCUCAUGAGUUAAAACGGUGAGCUAUGAGUUAAAAUGGUGAAAAGCAUUUUAAGUUGUGUGACGUAUGAUUCACCAACUC